rnacentral:rRNA from 1 species
AACGCGAAGAACCUUACCAAGGCUUGACAUACACCAGAACGGGCCAGAAAUGGUCAACUCUUUGGACACUGGUGAACAGGUGGUGCAUGGUUGUCGUCAGCUCGUGUCGUGAGAUGUUGGGUUAGGUCCCGCAACGAGCGCAACCCUCGUUCUAUGUUGCCAGCACGUAAUGGUGGGAACUCAUGGGAUACUGCCGGGGUCAACUCGGAGGAAGGUGGGGAUGACGUCAAAUCAUCAUGCCCCUUAUGUCUUGGGCUUCACGCACGCUACAAUGGCCGGUACAAAGGGCUGCAAUACCGAGAGGUGGAGCGAAUCCCAAAAAGCCGGUCCCAGUUCGGAUUGAGGUCUGCAACUCGACCUCAUGAAGUCGGAGUCGCUAGUAAUCGCAGAUCAGCAACGCUGCGGUGAAUACGUUCCCGGGUCUUGUACACACCG